rnacentral:rRNA from 1 species
AGCAGCCGCGGUAAUUCCAGCUCCAAUAGCGUAUAUUAAAGUUGUUGCAGUUAAAAAGCUCGUAGUUGAAUUUCGGGAUUGACACAUCGGUCGUGCCUUAAGGGGUAUGAACUGGUGUAGUCAAUUUCUCACCUUCUGGAGAACCGCGAUGCCCUUAAUUGGGUGUCGCGGGGAACCAGGACCUUUACUUUGAAAAAAUUAGAGUGUUUAAAGCAGGCAUUUUGCUUGAAUACAUUAGCAUGGAAUAAUAAAAUAGGACGGCAUGAUUCUAUUUUGUUGGUUUCUAGGAUCACCGUAAUGAUUAAUAGGGAUAGUUGGGGGCAUUAGUAUUCAAUUGUCAGAGGUGAAAUUCUUGGAUUUUAUUGAAGACUAACUACUGCGAAAGCAUUUGCCAAGGAUGUUUUCAUUAAUCAAGAACGAAAGUUAGGGGAUCGAAGACGAUCAGAUACCGUCGUAGUCUUAACCAUAAA